rnacentral:rRNA from 1 species
ACCUGACUGCUAUCGGAUUGAUACUAAGCCAUGUGAGUCAUCGCAGCAAUGCAAGGCAGACGGCUCAGUAACACGUAGUCAACCUACCCUAUAGACGGGGAUAACCUCGGGAAACUGAGGAUAAACCCCGAUAGAUCAUUAUGCCUGGAACGGUUUAUGGUCCAAAUGAUUCGUCGCUAUAGGAUGGGACUGCGGCCUAUCAGCUUGUUGGUGAGGUAAUGGCCCACCAAGGCUAUUACAGGUACGGGCUCUGAGAGGAGAGGCCCGGAGAUGGGUACUGAGACACGGACCCAGGUCCUAUGGGGCGCAGCAGGCGAGAAAACUUUGCAAUGUGCGCAAGCACGACAAGGUUAAUCCGAGUGAUUCCUGCUAAAGGAAUCUUUUGUUAGUUGUAAAACCACUGAUGAAUAAGGGGUGGGCAAGUUCUGGUGUCAGCCGCCGCGGUAAAACCAGCACCUCAAGUGGUCAGGAGGAUUAUUGGGCCUAAAGCAUCCGUAGCCUGCUUUGUAAGUUUUCGGUUAAAUCCAUCAGCUCAACUGAUGGGCCGCCGAAAAAACUGCAAAGCUAGGGAGUGGGAGAGGUAGACGGUACUCGAUAGGAAGGGGUAAAAUCCUUUGAUCUAUUGAUGACCCCCUGUGGCGAAGGCGGUCUACCAGAAUACGUUCGACGGUGAGGGAUGAAAGCUGGGGGAGCAAACCGGAUUAGAUACCCGGGUAGUCCCAGCUGUAAACGAUGCAGACUCGGUGAUGCCCUGGCUUGUGGCCAGUGCAGUGCCGCAGGGAAGCCGUUAAGUUUGCCGCCUGGGAAGUACGUACGCAAGUAUGAAACUUAA